UGGGCACCAGUGACCCCCGAAACGCUGAAAGGAAGAAGCGGCUGUCCCCUGAGGUGAAGGACACUUGCAGAUGAAAGAAUGAAAAGAGACGAGUCAAAGUGAGGACAGCUCCUGCUACGUUCAGGCCACCGCACUACGCACUGGCUGACCGGCCACUACUUAGUAGGAUCAAACUGCAUUUUGUUCCUGGUGCCAAGAUGGUGGAGGAUCCUUCUUUUGCACUCAACCUUCAGAGACUCUCCAAAUUACAGCUUGUCUUUGCUCAUUAUUUUCAGCAGGUCUGUAACGCAACUUUCUGCCUAGUCUCCACUCUUUCCUUUUUCCACUGCUACACCGAUGCUUCCCUUCCUUUGUUCUGCAAAUAAAGACAUUCAAGUAAGCCUGCUGAUUUUUUUUUUUUUGGUCUGGUCAGAUUUCUAAAUCUCUUCAUCAUUGUUUGAAAAUUGCUAAAUUUUGCAAGUAGAAGUCUCUGCAGUCAAUAGGUUGCAGUUUCUUGGGUGUAGGGCGU